rfam:Triticum aestivum genome assembly, contig: Triticum_aestivum_CS42_TGACv1_scaffold_556277_7AL
UUUGUACUCCAUCCGUCCCAAAAUUCUUGUCUUGAAUUUGUCUAAAUACGGAUGUAUCUAGUUACACUUUAGUGUUAGAUACAUACGUAUCUAAACAAAUGUAAGACAAGAAUUUUGGGACGGAGUGAAUACUAC